rnacentral:rRNA from 1 species
AUUGAACGCUGGCGGCAUGCCUUACACAUGCAAGUCGAACGGCAGCACGGGUGCUUGCACCUGGUGGCGAGUGGCGAACGGGUGAGUAAUACAUCGGAACGUACCUUAUCGUGGGGGAUAACGCAGCGAAAGCUGUGCUAAUACCGCAUACGCCCUGAGGGGGAAAGCGGGGGAUCGAAAGACCUCGCGCGAUUAGAGCGGCCGAUGCCUGAUUAGCUUGUUGGUGGGGUAAAAGCCCACCAAGGCGACGAUCAGUAGCUGGUCUGAGAGGACGAUCAGCCACACUGGGACUGAGACCCGGCCCAGACUCCUACGGGAGGCAGCAGUGGGGAAUUUUGGACAAUGGGGGCAACCCUGAUCCAGCAAUGCCGCGUGAGUGAAGAAGGCCUUCGGGUUGUAAAGCUCUUUUGUCAGGGAAGAAACACCGGCUCUAACACAGUCCGGGAAUGACGGUACCUGAAGAAUAAGCACCGGCUAACUACGUGCCAGCAGCCGCAGUAA